UUGUAAGAACAGGAGAGAUUAGGACACAGAUAUCCACAGAGGAAAGACCAUGUGAAGACAGAGGGAGAAAAUAUCCACCUCCAUGCCAAAGACAGAGACUUCAGAAGAAAUCAACCCUGCCGACAUCUUGAUCUUGAACUUCUAGCCUCCUGGAGUGUGAGAAAAUAACCUCAUCUGUAGUCUCUAGUUAUGGCAGCUUUAGCAAACUCAUACAUGAGUUGAACAUAAAAAUUCACCAUCUUUGUGGUGUUAAAAACAGAAAAAGGCCAAAUAUUGACAAUGUCACGUGAUUCAAUUUAAAAAUGAAAUUUUGUAAAGAGGAUAAAUGGGAUCUUCUGGAAAAGAGAUUACUUUCUAGAUUACAAGGGACCACAAUGAGCAGGUGGGGGCGGAGAGAGUGAGUUUGACUCUCUGUGGCACAGAGUAGGCAUAGAGGCAUAGAGUAAGUUUCUGUUAGAUGUCACAAGGCUAUGUCUUACUGAACAUUUAUAUUAGGGACUUGAGGGAACAUACAAGAACAUGCACAUUAACUUUGUGGAUGGCAGGGAACUGGGACUGAUAGAAAACAUGCGCCUAUAUGAUCUGAGGCUGAAUUAAUAGAGUUAUAAUUUAUAAAACAAAGGAGGUGACAAUUCUGCUAUAUAGUUUAUUGGCUAAGAAAGCAGCUCUGGAGUUAGAUUUCCUGGUUGCAAAGCCCAGCUCUACUCCCAUUAGCUGUGUGAUGCUGAGCAAUUUACCUAACUGUAUUAUUUAUUAAAUGUGUACAAUAAUUAUACCUACUUCAUGGAGUUGUUGUAUUCAUUGAGAUAAUGCAUUGCAAAAUGUUUAGAACAAUGCUUGAGAUGUAUAAAAUGCUCAGAAAAUUUUAUUUAUAAUUAUUAUCCUCAUUGUUCUCACUAUGUGCUAGUAUAAUUAUUGGGAAUAUUGCCUUCAGUUCUGGUUGAUAAGCUUCUAAAAUGUUAACUAAUUGGCAGAUUAGAAUAUGUUUAGAGCUGAGCUCUGAAAAAAGUGAAGGCACUCAAGGACUCAAGAUCCUGACAUGAAAAGGGUUAGCUGACAGAUCCAGGGUCAUUUAACCUGAGAAAGAAAUGAUACCUGUGCCCAUGGUUUGGGAGUUUCCUUCAUACAUGAAGGGCUGUCCUGUGGAAAUGGGAUUAAUGUGGCUCACAUAUCCUCAAGAAGAAAAACUAAGUUAAUGAAGAGAAGCUGGGUACUCAACAUAAGGAAGAAUUGUCAAUGAGGGCAACCAGUCUCUGCUUGGCCUCGAUUUUAUAGACUCUAUAGCUCUACGGCAAAUGAGUUGUCUGAAAAGAAAGAAUGUGGCUAAUUGAGUAGACCAGUUCCUUGUGUUGAAGACUUUCCUCAUUAAUCUCCAAAUCAGUUGACUUUGCGUUUCCCACAGAGACUCAUUGGGUUGCCCUUGUGGUUGGAGCUGAGUUUCCAGGCACUGCCACCACUUAUUAGUCACUUAUAAUUAUUUCUCGUUGCUCAUCUUUCACUUAUAUCAUCUCCAAAACCAUUACAGCCACAGCGAUUAUAAUCAUAACAGCAGCAAUAAAGACUAAGAAUGACUGAGCACUUAACAAUGUGAAUACAUGUGAAGUGUGUGUCUGCCCAGUGCUAUGUGAUUCAUACAUAUUCCCUAAUUUAAUUCUCACAAGAAAACUUAUGAAGUGUAUUCUAUUAUCAUUCCUAAUUUGAAUUUAAAGAGAGUGAGUGCCCUUCCCAUUCACACAGUUAUAAGUGUCGUAGUUGAGAUGUAAAUAUUGCCAACAUCACGAAUCCUCCUGCCAUCUCUACCAACUCAACCGUAAGACUUGGUGAUGAAGAAAAGGAAAUAAACACCCCAGAAAAAUGUUGGUGAUUCUCUGGUUAAAUCCAUUCUAGAGAAUGGUCUCUCGCUGCCAUUCAGAGGCUCCACUUCAUAGGAAAGGUCAUUUAAUCAGGCAAAAAUGUCUUGCUGGGAAACCGGAUACAAUUACCUAUUUCUUUCACCUUGCCAUUGAUUGUUCUGAGAGGAAGGCAGUUUUUGCUUGAUUUCUCACUUUGCACAAAUUGAUAUUGCUCAACCUGUUAAUGGAGGAAUGAUUUUCAUUAUGGGACCUGAGAGGGAAGUUGCUGCUCUUGGUGUAAAUGUCAAGCAGUGGAAUACUUUUGUCUUGAGAUGUGCAGCAUGGCACUCUUUCCUUUUGUUCUAGCCCAAUAUUUUCCGUGAAAUUGGAGCUAUUUGCCUCUAAUGCCUUCAGAAAAUCAGAAUGAGAAGCAGCUUCUUUUUAGACAUAUUAUGAAUUUUCAGUCUGAUUUUAGGAGCCUCUUAUUUAGCUUUGCAUUUUUUUUUCUCUUCAGAAUAAAUUCAGUGGAACUCAUUGGUUUCUAAAAAUGUCACUUAUUUACAGCAAAUGUAAUCUACCACAACAUUCCCACUGAGACAAAAUCUCUUGUGUCUUCGAAUGCCUCAAAGGAGAUUAAAAAAACUAGUCCUUGUGCACAUAUACCUACAGGGAUAAAACAAUCAUUGAGCUAAUUAAUUAGCUAAUGUAUUUUAAAAUUGUUUUGCAAAUGCAGAAACGACUAUCCCAUUAGUGUUAUUGUGCUUUUGUAACCUUGUGUUCCAUCCCCUCUGUGGACCAUGUGCCACAACUACUUUCCGCAUAGAUUUCAAGAGAGAGAGAAGAACAAAAUUUCUUACUUCACAAAUCAGUGAAGAUGUAGCUUAGGGCAGCAACACUGCACACCAAUUAUCAACCAAUAAAAUUCUCUUCCUUCCCUCUCCCUUAGCCUCACUCUGACUAGCCAGAAUCAGCAGAUGGUCUAUCUCAUAGUUUGCAGAGAAAAUAGAAACUGUUCAGCUUAUGCUCGCUAAACUUCUAUCCUUUCACCUCUACACUUAGCUUCAAAGAUACUCAUUGCUACCUUCUUCCUUCCUGUCUUAUAAGAUAAACUUUCCUUUCCUCUUUUGCCUUUUUUUGAGAUUUAGCCCUGUAAGAACUCCCUCUUUCUUCAGUUAUCUUCGAUCUUCUCUUCACCUCUGCUCCAUUCCUCAGCUGGAGAUACCCGCAAAAUUAUUUCCUUCAUCCUGUCUCCUGCUUGGUUUACACCUUAGCUCAUUCCUGACUCUCACUAAAAAACUUCUCGGAAGGAUUGUCUAUACUUCCUACCUUUUCUCCCUAGUGGUUACUCCUUAACCCUCCACAUUUGAAAUGCCCAACUCUGAACUUCAGGAUUCCCUACACUUUAGUAGAAUUGUUUUCUUGUUUUACCUUGAUUAAGUUAGAAACACUUUAUUGUAUGCUCCCGCAGCCCUCAGUUCAUAAUUUCAGUGCACCGUAAUUGUUAUUAUAGUCCCCUCACAUUGUAUUUUAAUUGUUUGUGUUCACUUGUUCCUCCAGUAGACUGAGCUCCUAGAAGGUAGGAACAAGGAUUUAUACAGAUUGCAUAUUCCCUUUAAAGUUAAACACAGGUCCUGACACAUGAAUAUCUGGAAGAUAUUCAUCAAUAAAAUAAUAAAUAUUGGUGAAUCUUAGUGAUAGAAUUAUUUUUCCAGAGUUCCAAUAUCUGCUUAUUUUCUCCUUUUCUCAAUAGCGCUCAUGAGCACAGUAAAUAUUCAUGGAAUCCUGACUGUGUCAUAAGAGCUGUUCUAAAAGUUGGAGUGUAGUGAAUGACACCAUAUAGAAGGUCCUUGAGCCUCCAGAAUUUGCAUUAUGGUUGAAGGAGACUAAUAGUAAAUGCAAAAACAAUUAAGAUACUUUCCGAUGAUGAUAAGUGGGCUGAAGGAAAUGGAAGAGGCUAAUGGGAGAAGUGAGGACUUAGACAAAAACAGCAAUUCCAUGGAAAGGAAAUAGCACCAGCAAAGGCGGGCACAAAAAUGUGGAAUAGCAUGGUGAGUGUGGUGAACUAAUAAUACUAGAGGAAGUAGGAGUGGUGGUGGGGGUAGUGAUAGCAAUACUAGUAACAGCUGACAUUUGUUGACUGUGCCAUAUGCCAGAAACUCUUAAGCAUUUUAUGUGUGCUAAUACAUUUCAUAGAAAUAGAGUUCAGUGCUGUUGGAGUGAUGUAAAAUAAGGUUUGAGAAGUGGGCAUGCAUCAGAGCUAGGGCUUUAUUCUGUAGGUGAGUGAAACUGGGAUGAGAAGACCAACAAGUAAGUAAUUGGUAAGACUUAUCAACUGAUUGGAUGUUCCAGGUAAAGGCAGGGAGGAGCUACAAGUUUCUGGCUUGGGUGACAUUAAUUAAAUAUAGAGAUGCUCUAGGAGAGGUGGGAUUAAAGGGGAAAAUGCUAUUUUGGAUGUGCUGAAUUGAAAACACCUGUGUUAUCUGGAGAUCAAGGUCAACUUGAGAUAGCUUGAGCUAUAACUGAAACCACAAUAUAAGGAAUAUGCUGAAAUUAAAAAAAUG